rnacentral:misc_RNA from 1 species
AAGCUAUUUAGGUGACACUAUAGAAUACUCAAGCUAUGCAUCCAACGCGUUGGGAGCUCUCCCAUAUGGUCGACCUGCAGGCGGCCGCGAAUUCACUAGUGAUUUCCGUAGGUGAACCUGCGGAAGGAUCAUUACUGAAAAACUAUUUUUUUAAGUUUUUUAUAUCCCAUUGUUUACUUACCCUGUUGCUUUCACUGGACAGAUUUCACCUUGUGUGGGUGGGUCCUUUGGCUUGUGUAAAAAUACCACCUGCCAAAGAGUUGCCAGUGGUAAGACCUACUUAUCAAAACUUUUUUAGUUUCAAUAAACACAAUUGUCUGAAUAUUUUUUGUUUUCUUUAAUGAAAUAAAAACUUUCAACAACGGAUCUCUAGGCUCUUGCAUCGAUGAAGAACGCAGUGAAAUGCGAUAAGUAAUGUGAAUUGCAGAAUCUCGUGAAUCAUUGAAUCUUUGAACGCACAUUGCGCCCUAUGGUAUUCCAUUGGGCAUGCCUGUCUGAGCGUCAGCUCCCCCUCUACUCAAGAAUCAUUUUUAUAUGAUACUUGGAUUACUUUGGAGAUGUAACUGUAUAUUAAGUUGCCCUCCAGAAAUUCAUUGGCAGUAUGGUUUGUACUUGGACCAGACGUAAUAGUAAUAAAAUCGUUUGUCUGGGUAUAAUUGAUUGUACUUGCCUUUAACCCCCACCCAUUUUUAUUUUGGGUGACCUCAGAUCAGGUAGGGAUACCCGCUGAACUUAAGCAUAUCAAUAAGCGGAGGAAAUCGAAUUCCCGCGGCCGCCAUGGCGGCCCGGGAGCAUGCGACGUCGGGCCCAAUUCGCCCUAUAGUGAGUCGUAUUACAAUUCACUGGCCGUCGUUUUACAACGUCGUGACUGGGAAAACCCUGGCGUUACCCAACUUAAUCGCCUUGCAGCACAUCCCCCUUUCGCCAGCUGGCGUAAUAGCGAAGAGGCCGCACCGAUCGCCCUUCCCAACAGUUGC